GGGCACCCGGGACUCCCUUCCAUUGCUGGCGGGGACUCAAAAUGGGACAGUCACCAGGAAAAGUUUGCUAGUUUCUCAUAUUCACUUACCAGAUGGCUUAGCAAGCCCAAGCCUACGUCUUUAUUUACUCAAAAAGACAUGAAAACAGAUGUCCACGCGUACACCUUACGAGAACUGCUUAUAGCAGCUUCAGUCAUAAUUGCCAAAAGCUGGAAACAACCCAAGGGUCCAUCAACGGCUGAAUAAACCAACUGAAACUCUCAUGACAGACUUUUUUUUUUUUUCCUAAAUAAAAAGACCCAGAAGCAGUGAUGAGAAACCCAAGGCAAGUCUGAAGGAACUUCAGCUGUAAUAAUACCAAAAGGACUGCAACAAAGCAAACACUAGAGUCAUCUUGGGAAGAUCCAAAGGGAAAGGCACUCGUAACGAUCAAGUACGAACAAUGUAGAAGAGCCAGUUAAUGGCCACCACAUCCUGAGAGGACAGAAGCAACAGCACACCUUGGCCACACCAUCUCCUUUCUCUGCCACACGCCUGGGGGGGACUGGAUAACAUCAUUUAAAAAGCCCAAAAGGACUAGGACUUCUACCUCUAUGGCAAUUUGGGGACGCAGGAGGAACUUUGGAUAACUGAAGGCUUUUUUCCUUCCUGGGACUCACUAUUAAAACCGCAAAGGGAUCCUAGACUCUCCAGGGCCGUGAGCUGGGAAACGGGGAAGAACAGAAACGGGGAAAAGGAACGAGUCCUUAAGGCUCUUUUCUGGACAUCGAGAGAAAAGGAAAUGUGAACUCUUUGUCUAAGUUGUUCCAUUUCAGUUUUCUCUCAUGAAAGGAGGCAGGGAUUUGGGACAGAAUUGUCUAGAAAUAAAUAGUAUGCAUGUGCCUGAAUUCCUCAGGAAAUCUCCAUGGGGGUAAAGCCAAGUGGGAGAAAAAAUCUCCUAUUAUAGGAUAUGGCGAUUAUGAUUGACAAGAUGACAUUUCUUGUGUGGGCUGAUCUUAAUUUUCAGAAGCUGACCUUUUCACAUCCACGUACAUUCAAGGUAGAAUUGGGACAGAACAAGGUAAUCGGUGCCUGCUCGGAAAAAUGUUGGCUAAUACUGAAUUAGAAUAAUUAGAUAUAAUUAGAAUAACUUUUUUAAAUGUCACGGUCCUAUAAGCUUUUUAUCAAAACUGAAUGAUCAUACAAUUUAAUCCAUGAAUUUACAGCUUUCGAAUAUUGAUACCAUCUUCGGAAUAAUUCUAAAGAAAGAAUAAAUUCGUAACGAAAGUACCCAGGAAAUCUCUGUAGAGUCUAACGAUCUUUUCAUUUAGCUUAUAGAAUAAAGAACCGUUAUUUGAGCCAGUGA